CAGCCGCCGCGGGAAUACGUAGGGUGCAAGCGUUAAUCGGAAUUACUGGGCGUAAAGCGUGCGCAGGCGGUUAUAUAAGACAGAUGUGAAAUCCCCGGGCUCAACCUGGGAACUGCAUUUGUGACUGUAUAGCUAGAGUACGUCAGAGGGGGAUGGAAUUCCGCGUGUAGCAGUGAAAUGCGUAGAUAUGCGGAGGAACACCGAUGGCGAAGGCAAUCCCCUGGGCCUGUACUGACGCUCAUGCACGAAAGCGUGGGGAGCAAACAGGAUUAGAUACCCGCGUAGUCCCUGUCUCUUAUAC
rnacentral:rRNA from 1 species